CUCAGUUCGGACGUGCAGGCUGCAACUCGCCUGCACGAAGUUGGAAUUGCUAGUAAUCGUGGAUCAGCAUGCCACGGUGAAUACGUUCCCGGGUCUUGUACACACCGCCCGUCACACCAUGGGGAGCCGGUAAUACCCGAAGUCAGUAGUCUAACCGCAAGGAGGACGCUGCCGAAGGUAGGAUUGGCGACUGGGGUGAAGUCGUAACAAGGUAGC
rnacentral:rRNA from 1 species